UACGAAGGACCCGAGCGUUAUCCGGAUUUAUUGGGUUUAAAGGGUGCGUAGGCGGAUUUACAAGUCAGUGGUGAAAUCUCCCAGCUCAACUGGGAAACUGCCAUUGAAACUGUUUAUCUUGAGUACAUUUGAGGCGGGCGGAAUGUGUCAUGUAGAGGUGAAAUUCUUAGAUAUGACACAGAACACCAAUUGCGAAGGCAGCUCGUUACACGCAUAUUGACUCUGAGGCUCGAAAGCGUGGGGAUCAAACAGG
rnacentral:rRNA from 1 species